GACAGAGGAGCCAAGCGUUGUCCGGAUUGACUGGGCGUAAAGCGCACGCAGGCGGUCGUGCACGUGGGGUGUGAAAACUGGCGGCUUAACUGCCAGAGGCCCACCUCAUACGGCGCGACUCGAGCCCGUGAGAGGUCCAUGGAAUUGCCGGUGUAGUGGUGAAAUGCGUAGAGAUCGGCAGGAACACCCAGGGAGAAAUCAGUGGACUGGCACGGUGCUGGACGCUCAGGUGCGAAAGCGUGGGGAG
rnacentral:rRNA from 1 species